GGCAUAGAAGUCGGAGAUGGCCAUGCUGAUGCAGCUCGGUGCCAUCUUCCCAAAUCUGGUAUUCGAGUCAACGACAACACCCACAUUUACUGGGGUAGUCUUGGUUUCCUGUGCCAUUGCCAAGAAAGUAGACGUAAGCCAUUGCUUUACAAAUGAACAGUGUUUUGAACCACAUUUCAGUUUAUUUACAAGAUUGCCACUCCGAUGCUUUUAGCUUUUUACGAAGAUGCCAUCGGUUCGAAUGACGGGAAUGCUCGUCUAGGGCACGGUUGGGGGUAAGUUGGGUGGGCAUUGUUGUCAGUUAGGGUUGCAUUCGGUGGGAUCGAUGGCUCAGUGUGGGAUUUGGUGGAAAGGCAUGCUGCUUGCAGAGAGGAGGAGAGAGAGGGAAGGCAUGCGACUUGCAGAGAGGAGCCAGCUUUUCAACGAAAAAGCUAAAAUCUAUCCCUUCGAACUCCUCAUCGGCGACGGCACCCACGACCACCAGUGUUCUGAGUGAUCAACGAGCUGUGAUGGGUUGGUGUUGGAUUCGAUUGAGGAAAGUGUGGCGGAGACAAUAAUUCCCAAAUCCUCGAGUUUUAUGAAUGCAUUCCAAUUGAUAGCCAUGCCAAAUGAUCUCGAUUUGUCAGGAUGAGAAAUAGAAGACAACAAGAAUUGUACCCAAGCAUACCAUUACUGAAACCAUGAAGAACAUAGAAGCGGCUGCAACGGAUGCGAGUCUUUCUGUAGCAAGAACAAACAACUUCAGGAUGUAAAUGCAUGCAAAAUUUCCAAUGGAAACGUAAAUCACCAUAUCCAGGUGGAUUACCAAAAGGAGCUCAUCAAGUAUUAUGCGAGCACAUCGACCUUAAUCAUUUGGAUAUUUAAAGGAGCCAUUGAUAAAGGGAAGACGACGAGUUGUGAACCUGUGCGGCAAUUUUCCCAAUUUUGCAGACAAGCAGAAACUCUGGCACAAUGAUCAAACAGGCUUUCAUGUUGCGUAUUUUGAGUAAUAGCUGUGAAACCCACCGUGUAUCGCACCACAGACGGUCUCGCCUCCGUCCCAUCCUCCUCUCGCUGCCGUCUCCCUUCUCUCGCCUCCAUCGUCUUACUCCUCCUUUCUCUGUCUCUGGAAUCCAUCUUCCUCGCAUGUAAGGCUCUGGCCCUCCCAAUUGAAACCAAAACGUGUUUCAGUUCUGAGGAAGAGCAAGAAAAAGGAAGAACCAGUAUUAGAAGAUCUUCCCAAAGAGUACUAUGAUGAUUCUAAGCCAUGAAGGAUUUGAUAAACCCACAAUUGAUAACAAUGUGCGGCAGCACCAACGGUUAAAUGGUUAGGUUCAUUCCUGCAUGGGAGAGGUGUGUUUUUGCCAUCAAAUUGGUAGAAACGGAUCUUAAUCAAAUAUCAUGCCAUAAUGUUAUUUUGUUCCAGAUAAUACUGCCUUUUUGGAUUUCGUAUGAGUGUCCCGGGUCGGUUCUGGACCAUCAAAAGAUGGAUGAUCGCUGUCAUUCGGACUGCCGACGUCCACUUCAAAAUCCCGGUAAACACGUCCUUUUCUUGAUUUCAGGCCAUGCAAAAUUCAUGGUGAAAAAACUGAGCUCAUGUCGUUGGUUUGUGCCUCUGUCCGAUUUCUUAUUUAUUUAUUUUAGCAAUCCUUUUCCUUCUUGGUUCUAUUUGUUGCUGCUGGUUCCGAUAUUUCGUUGUCCUAUCUGUCCAUGAUAUCAGUGCUGCCACUUUUCAUAUUCUUAUCAAUGCUUACAUCUUCACUCUUUUCCUUCUGUUUCUUUUGCUUAACAUGGUUUCGGUUUUUUGAGAUUGUGUGUUUGAUUAACAUUUGAUCAUAUGGUAUUAGAAUUUAAAUUUGAUUGGUUUUUUAAACCAAGAUUGUGCAUCCUUUGAUGUGAAUAAAUUCUGCCGGCGGGGAUUUUGGUCUCUGGAUUUUUCAUGGCGUAAUUUUUAUGGCAUGAUCCAUUGGUGUUGUGUGCAUUUUUAUCAACAAUAAUAAGCUUUUUCUCAGUAUUGCAAACAAGUUUUCUUAUAAUUGAAAUAUUUGAAAUCCCUGGUCUAUAAUCCUCUUGAUUCAUGGUUUUAACGCCUCCUGAUAAAAUAACUACAACGUUAUCACUUCUUUCUUCAGAUAGAUUAAACAUUCUACCCAUUACUGAGUUUCUUUAACGAGUCUCGCUCAUUUGUCAUAAAAUUAGAUGAGGUGACUUCAUACCAUCUCAGAGUAUUGUCAGAAUAUAACAUGAUAUUUGAUUCUUUCUCUUUUUUUCCCACGAGUCUCAAUUUGUUUUUGAAACAAUGUCUAAUAAACUUACCCGAUCUUCAUCGCUUAUCAUACUAUUACAGGUUUUGUUUUAAGGUUCUGAUGGAUAAAGCAAAAGCUCCUACCAAUUUAGCGGAGUGAACCAAGAAUUCAGGGCUUUUAUUAAUGACAUAUCACAUGCCAUUUUAAAGGUUCGACAGAAAGUUGAAGAACACAUAUGAUCACCUACUUUUUACGAGGUCCUGCUGAUGCUUAGUUGUUUAUUUUAGCAUAGAUUUUACACUCUUACUUUUAGGGUAUGUGUGUGUGUGUAUAUAUAUGUAUGUAUGUAUGUAUUUAUGAGUUGGCACAGAUGCUUAGACAUGCCACCCAAGCCUAAGCAUUUGAAAAAGUUUGUUCUCCUUGGUGAUAGAAAUUGGCAUCUUUCAGUACACGAUGGAGGUACCCAGUUAAGGCAAAUGCAUUCAAGUCUCGCAGCAGCGCGUGGACAUAUUUUCUCGUAAGAAGAAAAAGAAGAGAGAAAAAACGGGGGUGCAGCUAGAAUUUUUGGCCAUGUUUGAUAUUAUUCAAGCUUGGUCAGAAAUUGAUGGAAUCGAGUAAAAACGAGUCUUCGUUUAUAUAAAACGUGAUAGAUUGGAGAGAACAAUUAGGAAAUGUACACCAAAGCUCUCAACUGGGUAUUAAUUAUGAAUAAUGUAUAGAUUAAUACAAGUAAAAGAAGAAUCUACACUUUUAAUGCUAUGCACAGAUAAUGUAUUCAAGUUGCAACGAAAAACAUUGACAAGUUGGCAUUUGACAAA